rnacentral:lncRNA from 1 species
GUAAGUAUUGGGUGGCAGGUUUAAUAAAUCAGCUUGGUUCAAGGUAUCAGUAGUGUGGAAGGCCAGAAGAAAGGAAAAUGUUGAUGAGCCAUGAAGUACCUUUGGGUAUGGUUGGCAAUAUGAUUUGGUAUAUCAAGGAUGUACGAGAUUGGAAGAAGAGAAGUGGUAAAUGAUUUGAAGUUAAGUUAUGAAGGGAAUGGGAAUUCUAAAGUGGACCAAGGCAAAUUAGUAUCUAAAAGGGAAAUAGAAGAGAAAGAGUUUGAGAAGCAGUUGUAUGAGACGUAGAGCAUAUUU